rnacentral:rRNA from 1 species
AUGUCACUGGUGUUUGUGCCGCAUCCGCAUCGUGUCUGGAAGAAUGCUAGUAUGCUAUGUACCCGGCAACAUCAUGUGUUCCUCCGUUUGGACACGAAUGAUGUCUCCAACACCCAACUGGUCAUUCUGAACAAGGUGAAAGGAGAACCACAUUGCUCAUGGAAUAUUAACAUGAUGCGAAAGAGUAAAUUCCGAUGCCCUCCAAACUUAAGCACCAAAUCUAGAUGUGGUGCAAUCUCCACUGAUUCAAAGUACGAACAGUGUGUGUUCACAAUCUCUAGAGAAAUGAGAACAGAUAGACUUUGCGGUUUGUAA